UACGUAGGGGGCAAGCGUUGUCCGGAAUCAUUGGGCGUAAAGAGCGUGUGGGCGGCUCGGUAAGUCUGCUGUGAAAGCCCAGGGCUCAACCCUGGGAUGCCGGUGGAUACUGUCGAGCUCGAGUCCGGAAGAGGCGAGUGGAAUUCCUGGUGUAGCGGUGAAAUGCGCAGAUAUCAGGAGGAACACCAGAGUGCAAGGCAGCUCGCUGGGACGUAACUGACGCUGAGACGCGAAAGCGUGGGGAGCAAACAGG
rnacentral:rRNA from 1 species